ACGUAGGGAGCAAGCGUUGUUCGGAUUUACUGGGCGUAAAGGGCGCGUAGGCGGCCACCGCAAGUCGACUGUGAAAUCUCCGGGCUUAACCCGGAAAGGUCAGCCGAUACUGCGGGGCUAGAGUGCAGAAGGGGCAACUGGAAUUCUCGGUGUAGCGGUGAAAUGCGUAGAUAUCGAGAGGAACACCUGUGGCGAAAGCGGCGCACUGGACCACUUCUGACGCUGAGGCGCGAAAGCUAGGGGAGCAAACAGGA
rnacentral:rRNA from 1 species